rnacentral:rRNA from 1 species
UACGUAGGCAGCGAGCGUUGUUCGGAAUUACGGGGCGUAAAGGGCGCGUAGGCGGUCUGUUAAGUUCGGUGUGAAAGCCCCCGGCUCACCUGGGGAACUGCGCCGGAAACCGACAGACUCGAGUACCGGAGAGGAGGGUGGAAUUCCUGGUGUAGCGGUGAAAUGCGUAGAUAUCAGGAGGAACACCGGUGGCGAAGGCGGCCCUCUGGACGGAUACUGACGCUGAGGCGCGAAAGCGUGGGGAUCAAACAGG